GAGGACUGGAAAGAGAAACAGCAGACCUUAUUUCCUAGAGCUCGGUUUUGUCCCUGCAGACCCAGCAAGCAGAAGGGGAUGGGAGGAACAGUGGCUCACUGCCAGAGAAACAGGGCUCAUUGUAAACAGUUGAAGGCAUCUUUAUAAAUGCCCUUCUCAUGGGGAGCUCUGAGGCUUAUGCUCUGGAAGUUUUCAAAGCAGCAGCACUCUUGAGGAAGACCAGAAAGAGAGGAUUAGAAAACUGAAAGCAUUCUGAAGGCACAUUAAUCUUUCUGGCGUUGUCAGAAUUGAUCAGCGAGUUUUAUUAAAAGCCCCAGGAUUUCUUGAAAGACUUCCUUGUCCAAAUUUCAAUAAAAGGAGCACCUCUUAUUAUCAACGCACCCCAAGUCAUGACCCUGGACUAUGUGUUGACACUUCUGAAGGAAGAAGAGAAGACCGCUAUUGUUUAGGGAGUUUUAUUAGUGGAAAGGAGCUAUUUUCCCUGAUAGCAUGACUCCUCUUGGAAGAGGUGAGCUGUUUCCUUUGCUGCUGCUGACCUGGAGCUGCCUCAUCGAUUCUUCCUUUAUCAGCAUCAACCGUGGGAUGAGUGUGAUGAAGGGCCAGUCUGCUUUCCUGUCAGUAGAAGACCUGCAGUUUUCCAUUCCCAAAGAGAAAGAUGCCUGCAAAGUGGAAGUGGUGAUGGAUGAGCCAAUAACCCAGAGAGUUGGAAAACUCACUCCACAGGUAUUUGACUGCCACUUCCUCCCUAAUGAAGUGAAGUACACUCAUAAUGGAUGCCCCAUCUUAGAUGAAGAUACAGUUAAAAUUAGGCUAUAUAGAUUUACAGAAACAGAAACUUUCAUAGAAACCUUCAUACUUCGGAUUCAACUUCUGGAACCUGACUGCCACAUCAUUCGGAUGACCUCCAGGACUCUGGAGGUCUCUAAGUUCAAUGGCCUGUCUGGAGUGAUCGAUAAGAACGUACUUAGUUUUGAGUAUGAAAGGAAAAUCGGUCUGGAGUGCACCAUCAGACUAGAGCCUCUUGAAACUCACCUACCAGCUCACGGGCACGUUGUCAUCAUGGAGCCCCAAGAGGAACCUUGGGGUGAUCAGCCCCAUAGUUUUUUCCCUGGAUUCCAAUACAGAAUUGAUCCCAAAUGCUCAAGUGGGAGCUGUACUAUAGGGUUGAAGAAAAUUGAAAACCUCAAAGUGAGUUGUGAAGAGUUCCUGAUCAUGGAGUUGAGAUAUCAGCACCUGGUUCCUCCUUCACCCAAUGUUGAUUACAUCUCUAUCAGACUGGACCUCAUUGAUAGCAGGAGUAAAACCAUAUACAAGUCCGAAAAUGCAUGGUUGCCUAUUCACAUCAAGGGUGCCAUUCCGAACCAGAUCCCCAGAGCUGCAUUCAUGCCUUUGUAUAUUCUGGAGGUGGAUCAGUUCAUCUUGAGCCCCUUGUCAACCUCGACUGUGGACUGUGACGAUGACGAGACACCCAAAUCCUUGUUGGUGUUCAACAUAACUGCACCCCCUCUCCAGGGCUAUAUAACUCAUCUGUCUGACCACACUAAACCCAUCUCCUCCUUCACUUGGGAAGAUCUAAACGAGAUGCAGAUUGCUUAUCAGCCCCCAAACAGCAGCCAUACGGAGAGGAGGCAUUUUGAGGUGGAGUUUGAGGUUCAUGACUUCUUUUUUGAAAGGAGUUCACCAAUUACUGUCCAUAUCUCCAUCAGAACAGCAGAUACAAAUGCCCCAAGAGUCUCUUGGAAUAUGGGUCUGAAUCUUCUGGAAGGACAGUCUCGGCCCGUCACUUGGGAGCAGCUUCAGAUAGUAGAUAAUGAUGACAUCAGCACUGUCCGUUUGGUUACAGUAGAUGGCUUACAGCAUGGACGACUCACUGUCAGAGGAGGGAAAGGCUUCAUUUUCACUGUGGCAGACAUUCAGGCAGGGGUGGUUCGCUAUCAUCAUGAUGACAGUGACUCCACAAAGGAUUUCAUGGUCUUCAGGAUUUCUGAUGGUCGCCACAGCAUUCGCCAUAAGUUUCCCAUCAACAUCCUGCCAAAGGAUGACAGCCCCCCCUUCCUCAUCACCAACAUGGUCAUUGAACUGCACGAGGGACAGACCAUCCUAAUCCAAGAAUCCAUGCUGCAGGCUUCUGACAUGGACUCCAGUGAUGACUAUAUUUUCUUUAACAUCACCAAGCCUUCCCAAGCAGGAGAGAUCAUGAAGAAGCCAGGACCAGGCCUUAUUGGUUAUCCAGUCUCUGGCUUCCUUCAGAGGGAUCUCUUCCAUGGUAUUAUUUACUAUCAUCACCUUGGUGGGGAAAUCUUUGAGGAUUCCUUUGAGUUUGUCCUGUAUGACAGCCAUGAUCCUCCUAACUUCUCAAAGCCACAGGCGGUAAUAAUGCAUAUCAUGCCAGUGGAUGACCAACUUCCUAAAGAAGUUGCAGGAGUGACUCGGCAUCUGGUUGUCAAGGAAACCGAGGUGGUUCAUCUCACUAAGAAACAUCUGCAUUUUGUAGAUGUGGAAUCUCGUGAAAGGGAACUUCUCUACACAGUAACAACACCUCCAUUUUUCUCCUUUAGUUACAGACAUUCAGAUGCUGGGAAAUUGUUCAUGGUGGAUAGUGUGACAAAGCUGAUGAAAGACCCUGCAGCUCCAAGCCUGAAAUCAUUCACUCAGCAUGCAGUCAAUUUCAUGAAAGUAGCCUAUAUGCCACCAAUGCAGGACAUUGGCCCUGUUCCUCAGCAUGUCCAGUUUGUUUUUUCCAUCAGUAAUCAACAUGGUGGCACACUACAUGGGAUCUGCUUUAACAUUACUAUUCUCCCAGUAGACAAUCAAGCUCCAGAGGUAUUUGUGAAACCCUUGAAAGUGGAGGAAGGAGGUCUGUGCACCAUCACAACCGAGCAUAUUCUGAUUUCAGAUGUGGAUACUAAGCGAGGCGACCUCCACAUUCGCCUACAGCGACGCCCACUGUAUGGAGAAGUGGAGCUAGAUGAGUUUCCCCUGAGUCUAGGGGACACAUUUUCCUGGGAAGAUCUCCACACAUUAAAAGUUAGGUAUCAUCAUGAUGGGUCUGACGUUCUACACGAUGUCGUCCUUUUUGUGGCCACAGACGGCACUAAUUCUGCAGCAUUUGACCUACACGUCAAGGUGCUGCCUGUAAAUGAUGAACCGCCUGUCCUGAAGGCAGACCUGAUUCCGGUUAUGAACUGUCCCGAGGGAGGAGAAGUGAUCAUCACUUCAGAGUAUAUUAGUGCUACUGAUCUGGACAGUGAUGACCUGAAACUGAUGUUUGUGAUCACUCGACAACCUCGUCGUGGGAUUGUGAGUAAAGCUGGGAUCAUUGUGGAUCAUUUCUCUCAGGCAGAUAUCGUUUCAAAAGCCGUGACAUACAAGCACACAAGUGGAGAGAUUGGUUUGGUCCCUUACUUCGACACGAUUACCUUUGUGGUUUCUGAUGAUGAAGCUGGACCAUAUGUAAAUGAAUGUUGUUACAAUGGACCUCUUCCUCCUCCUGUUCCACUUCAUGAUUCAUUUCCAGUGUAUGAUCUCAAUAUCACUAUCUACCCAGUGGACAACCAGCCUCCAUCUAUUGCAGUCGGUACUGUGUUUGCUGUGGAUGAAAGCUUCUCAGCUGCCAUUACCAUUAAUCAUUUACUUGUCACUGACCUUGACACUGAAGAGGAUGACUUAGAGUUUGUUCUGGUUUCACCUCCUCAGUUUGGGUACAUUGAAAAUACACUACCGACCCCAGGUUUUGAGAAGAGCAAUAUAGGCAUAAGCAUAGCAUCAUUUCAGUGGAAACACAUGAAGGCUUUGCACAUAAACUAUGUGCAGUCCAGGCAUCUGAGGAUAGAACCAACGUCAGACCAGUUUAUGGUGUACGUCACGGAUGGGAAACAUCGUUCUUUGGAGACACCAUUUUACGUUAAAAUCAACCCGACAAAUGAUGAAGUUCCUGGCUUUGUAGCACGGAACAUCACUGUGGUUGAGGGCCAGAUGAAGGAACUCGAUCCUUCCAUCAUCAAUGCAGUUGAUCUCGAUAUUCCCCAGGACCGCUUAAUGUUCACAAUCACCCAACAGCCACAGCAUGGAAUUCUUGUUGAUGGGGUGUUUGGCAACGAUGUCACCUUCUAUAAACAAUUAAUUAAUAUGCACCAGAAUCCCAAAUUUCCUCUGCAUGACUUCUCCAUGGAUCUUCUCAAGAGUGGAAUGAAGUUGAUGUACAUACAUGAUGACUCUGAAAAUCUCGAGGAUAGUUUCACAAUUCAGUUGUCAGAUGGGAAACAUAAAAUCCUGAAAAGCAUUUCGGUAAAGGUCAUGCCAGUUAAUGAUGAGAAACCAGUGUUGAACAAGAAGGGUGAAAUAACAGUGAAUAUGGGUGAAACUCGCUUUAUUUCUAGUGCCGUUCUCUCUGCUGUAGAUAAAGACACCCCCAGGGAAAGGAUUUACUAUUUAUUUGAAAGACUUCCAGAAAAUGGGCAGCUUCAGCUCCAGGUAGGGGUGGACUGGGUUCCUCUCCAGGCUGGCAUGAAGUGCUCUCAGGAAGAGGUAGAUCUGAAUCUCUUGAAGUAUACACACACUGGAGCGAUGGGGUCCCCAAACCAAGACAGCUUUACAUUCCACCUCUGGGAUGGAGACAAUAGGUCCCCGACACUGGACUGUCAGAUCAUCAUCAAAGACAUGGAAAAGGGAGAUAUUGUAAUUUUUGCCAAACCCCUUGUCGUGUCGACUGAGGACAGGGGUUUCUUGACAACUGUUACCCUUCUUGCUGUUGAUGGAACAGACAAACCAGAAGAGCUUCUCUAUGUAAUCACUUCUCCACCUCAGUAUGGCCAGAUGGAGUACGUCAACUAUCCUGGAGUCCCCAUUACAAGCUUCAGUCAAAUGGAUGUAGCAAGUCAGACAGUCUGCUACGUCCACAAAAGCAAGGCAGCUGUUCCCAGAGAUACAUUCAGAUUCAUCGUUAGCAAUGGCCUGAAGACCAAGCACGGGAUUUUCGAGAUUAUACUGGAGACUGUGGAUCACGCCUUGCCUGUGGUUUCCAGGAACAAGGGAAUCAGAUUAUUUGAGGGUGCCAUGAUGCUCCUUUCUCCUGACUUCCUCCAGCUGUCAGAUCCAGAUACUCCAGCCCAUAAUCUAACCUUCCUCUUGGUCCAGCUUCCUCAAUAUGGUCAGCUCUAUCUUAGGGGAGCUGUGCUACUACAGCGCAAUUUCACCCAACAGGAUGUGGACAACAUGAAUGUAGCCUACAGGCAUAUAGAAGGGGGCUCCCAGAUCGAUCUAUUCACUUUUGUGGCUUCUGACGGGACAAACCAAGGCUUUCUUGUAGAUGGAAAGCUAUCUCAAGAACCUGUGUCUUUCAUUAUCCAGGUGGACCAACUAGACAAAACAGCUCCACGCAUUGUCCGUCUACAUUGUCCUUCCAAAGUGGAGUUCCUGAAAAACGGCUGUUACGGAAUUUACAUCACUUCACAUGUUUUGAAGGCAUUCGACCCUGACACGGAGGCUGACCAAAUUAUCUUCAAUAUUUUACAAGGCCCCCGUUAUGGGCAUCUGGAAAAUAUAACAACAGGUGAAUUUAUCCAUGAGAGAUUCAGCCAGAAGGAUUUGAACAGUAAAACCAUUCUUUAUAUCAUCAAUCCAUCCUUGGAACUGAAUUCAGAUAGCUUGGAGUUUCAAGUCACAGACCCAACCGGGAACUCUGCCACUCCUCAAAUCUUAGAACUCAAGUGGUCUCGCAUUGAACUGCUGCAUAGUGAGUAUGAAGUGUGUGAAACGCUGGAUACACUACCCUUGAAAAUCACCAGGAUAGGGUACUCCAUGGAUUCUGCUUUUGUUGGAGUAAAGGUCAACCAACUGUCAGCCACAAUUGGAAAAGAUUUCACUGUUAAUCCUUCCAAGCUGAUUCAAUUUGAUCCAGGAAUGUCAACUAAGAUGUGGAAUAUAGCAAUUACCUAUGACGGAUUAGAGGAAGAUGAUGAGGUCUUUGAAGUAAUUCUGAACUCCCCUGUGAAUGCAGUUCUUGGCACAAAGACAAAAGCUCUAGUGAAAAUUUUGGACUCAAAAGGAGGUCAGUGCAGCCCUGCACGUUCCUCUGACCCAAAUGGGUACAACUCAUGGGGGAAAGACAUGUGGCUUCCAGUGUCUCCAGGCUCAUUAUCACCCUCCACUCAUGGUGCAGUUCACUUAGAAGGAAGCUCUCUUUCACCUUUCAAAGGCACGGCAUUAAACCCCAGAAGGGACAAGCUACGGGGAUUUGAGUCUACAGAAAUGUCCAGGACCAGGCUUAGCGCAAUCACCAAUGGCAAAACAGUUCAUCCAUCAUCUGUUUAUAAAAAUGGAACGGAUAUCAUUUUUAAAUAUCAUGGGAUUGUAUCACUACGAGUGGAAGAGGCCAGCUCCCCAGCUAACCCCCCAAAGAAGGUCAAAGUGGCUACUAUUAAUCACCAUCAUCUUCAACGGAAGAAAACUUCCGGAACGAUAGAAUUGCCUCAGGCUGAUAAGGUGGAACAAACACCAAAUUCACACUUCCAGAGUCAGGACCCUUCACCAUCCUUUCCAAAGAAAUGCAGCCUGGAAUUAAAGGGUUUCUUGCAUUUUGAAGAAAGCCUCCAAAAGUUAUUUCAGUGUGAUGGGAUUUCCUGGAAGCUGUGGAGCUCUACAAACAAGGGAACGAUUGAGAGGACUUGUCCUCCUGAAUGGAGCUACCACUCUGGUUACUGCUAUUCCUUGAUUACUGAGAAGAAAAUCACCUGGAAUGCAGCUGCUCAAGCUUGCCGGGAACAUGUAGACACCUGGGCAGCUUAGUAAGUGUGCUUACUAAACAACACAUGAAAUGGCUUUGGGACUUCAGUGGAAGAAAACCUUUUUGGAUAGGUUUGAAUGAUCAAGUGAAUGCCGGCCACUGGAAGUGGAAUGGAGGAGAAACCGUGACCUUCACAAACUGGAAAAGAGGGCCUCCCCGUCACUCAAAAAAGGGAAAAAACUGUGUUUUGGUACAAAGGCGAGGAAAGUGGCAAACCAAGAACUGCAGGAAGGGCAAAGGUUACAAUUAUAUAUGCUCCAGGAAAUUGUAAACAUAAUUGACAUUGAAAAGGCCUAAUGGACUUUCUUCAUGGAGCAAUGCUUUUCAACAUAUUUAUUUUCAGUAUUGUGAAGGUAUAUGUUUAGGAAUGUAACUUCAUUAUUGUUAUAGGUUGUUUUAUGGAUUUGUCAUUGAGUAUAAAAGGCUUUAUUAAAAUCAAUCACAAAUCAGAAA